rnacentral:rRNA from 1 species
GAUGAACGCUGGCGGCGUGCCUAAUACAUGCAAGUCGAGCGAACAGACGAGGAGCUUGCUCCUCUGACGUUAGCGGCGGACGGGUGAGUAACACGUGGAUAACCUACCUAUAAGACUGGGAUAACUUCGGGAAACCGGAGCUAAUACCGGAUAAUAUAUUGAACCGCAUGGUUCAAUAGUGAAAGACGGUUUUGCUGUCACUUAUAGAUGGAUCCGCGCCGCAUUAGCUAGUUGGUAAGGUAACGGCUUACCAAGGCAACGACGCGUAGCCGACCUGAGAGGGUGAUCGGCCACACUGGAACUGAGACACGGCCCAGACUCCUACGGGAGGCAGCAGUAGGGAAUCUUCCGCAAUGGGCGAAAGCCUGACGGAGCAACGCCGCGUGAGUGAUGAAGGUCUUCGGAUCGUAAAACUCUGUUAUUAGGGAAGAACAAAUGUGUAAGUAACUAUGCACGUCUUGACGGUACCUAAUCAGAAAGCCACGGCUAACUACGUG